rnacentral:tRNA from 1 species
GUGGGCGUGCCGGAGUGGUUAUUGGGCAUGACUAGGAAUCCUGUGGUCUUUGCCCGUGUUGGUUUGAUUCUUGCCGCUCACA